rnacentral:lncRNA from 1 species
GGACGCUGACCAGGAAGCCCUGCCCAGAGGAGGCGCGGAGGUUACAUCGCUGGUGGGGGCAGGACUGUAACCGCCUCCGCGCCUCCCUCCCCGUUUUUUGUUUGUUUGUUUGUUUGUUUGUUUUUAAGAGUCGGAAUAUUGCUCUUGUUGCCCAGGCGGGAGUGCAGUGGCACGAUCUCGGCAAACGGCAACCUCUACCUCCCGGGUUCAAGUGAUUAUCCUGCUUCAGCCUCCUGAGUAGCUGGGAUUACAGGCGCCCUCCACCACGCCCAGCUAAUUUUUGUAUUUUUAGUAGAGACGGGGUUUCAUCCUGUUGUCCAGACUGGUCUCGAACUCCUGACCUCUGGAGAUCCACCCAUCUCAGCCUCUCAAAGUGCUGAGAUUACAGGCAUGAGCCACCGCGCCUAGCCUUUGUAACUGUUCUCUUAAUAAGCUCGCGCCCUUGCCAGGCCCUGAAGCACCUCAGCUACCGCCACCGUGGUCCUAAACUAUUAGGGUCAUCUUUUCACUGGUUCCUGGCUUCCCCCACACCAACCCCACUGCUUGCUCCAGAAGGUUAGCUGAGCACUGCUGGCUGGGGGUUAAGAACUGUGGACCCUGGAGGUGGGCUCCCUGGACUCAAAAACCACCUUUCCACUUUCUUUCCCAUUUGGGCAAGCUGCUUAACCACACUGUGCCUCAGUUUCUUCAUCUGGAAAAUGGAGCAGUAAUAUAGUAGUAGUUGUGAAAAUUUAGGGUGAUUGUGUUGCCGUUUUGUUUUUUGCUUUUUUUUUUUUUUUUUUUGGAGACAGGGAGACAGAGUCUUGCUCUGUUGCCCAGGCUGGAGUGCAGUGGCACGAUCUCAGCUCACUGCAAACUUGGCCUCCCAGGUUCAAGCGAUUCUCCUGAAUCAGCCUCCCAAGUACCUGGGAUUACAGGCAUGCGCCCCCACGCCUAGCUAAUUUUUUGUGUUUUUAGUAGAGACAGAAUUUUUGCCAUGUUGCCCAGGCUGUCUCAAACUCCUGAGCUCAGGCAAUACGCCCGCCUCAGCCUCCCAAAGUGCUAGGAUUACAGACGUGAGCCAACGCACCCAGCCUGUUUUUGUUUUUUGAGACAGGGUCUGGCUCUGUCACCCAGGCUGGAGUGCAGUGGAGUGAUCAUGGCUCACUUCAUCACUUCAACCUCAACUCCUGAGCUAGAGGGAUCCUCCCACUUCAGCCUCCAGAGUGGCUAAGACUACAGGCAUGCACCACCACACCAAGUUAAUUUUUUUUUUGUUUUUGAGACAGGGCCUUGUUCUGUUUCCCAGGCUGGAGUGCAGUGGCACAAUCUCAGCUCAGUGCAACCUCUGCCUCCCAGGUUCAAGCGAUGUUCCUGCCUCAGCCUCCUGAAUAGCUGGGAUUACAGGCACGUGCCACCUAGCCUCGCUAAUUUUUGUAUUUUAAGUAGAGACAGGGUUUCUCCAUGUUGGUCACGCUGGACUGGCCUCCUUGGCCUCCAAAGUGCUGAGGCAAGAGAAUCGCUCGAAUCUGGGAAGUAGAGGUUUCAGUGAGCUGAGAUGGCACCAUUGCACUGCAGCCUGGGCAACAAGAGUGAAACUCUGUCUCAAAAAAAAAAAAAUUAGUCAAGUGUGAUGGCUUGCUCCUGUGCUCCCAGCCACUUAGGAGGCUGAAGCAGGAGGAUUGCUUUGGACCAGGAGUCCAAGGCUGCAGUGAGCUAGGAUCACACCCCUGCACUGGAUCCAGCCUGGACAACAGAGGGAGACCUCAUCUCUAAAAAAAUAAAAAUAAAUAAAACAGUAACCCCCAUCCCUCAGUGGACACUCCUCAUCUCUUUUCUUGCUUUAUUCUCCCUCUAGGCACAUCUCACCAUCUGACAUUCUAUAUGCUUUCCUUUUUUUUUUUUUUUUUCUUGAGACAUGAUCUCCCUCUGUGGCCAGGCUGGAGUGCAGUGGCGUGAUCUCGGCUCACUGCAACCUCCACCUCCCGGGUUCAAUCGAUUCUCCGACCUCAGCCUCCUGAGUAGCUGGGAUUACAGGCGGCCGCCACCACAUCCAGCUAAUUUUUCUAUUUUUUUAGUAGAGACAGGGUUUCACCAUAUUGGUCAGGCUGGUCUUGAACUCUUGACCUCAGGUGAUCCGCCUGCCUCGGCCUCCCAAAAUGCUGGGAUUACAGGUGUGAGCCACUGCGCCCAGCUGUAUGCCUUACUUCUAUAGUGUGUUUAGUGUGUCUUUCCCACUGGAGGGUAGGGACCAUUUGGUUCUUGGCUGUAUUCCUGUGAUAAGCCUGGAGGAGUGCUUAGCAUAUACACAUGCUCAGUAAUUUUUUGCUGAAUUUAAUGAAUGAACAGCCUUGUCCACUGAGACUAGUAUUUUCCCCACUUUAGAGAUGAGAAAACAGGCCGAAUGAGGUGAAGCAGGUUGGGGACUCAGGUAAACCAAGCAAGUGUAAGGUGGGCCUUCAAUUUUGGAAUGAAUCUUUCCUUAGAUUCUGCACGUUGGCACCUCACUUACCUCUCCCUACCCUCAACCCUGAGGUGAAGGCCACACAGCUGGCAAACAGCUAGAAAGUGACAGAACCUGAAUUUGGCCUCAGCUGUGUCCAGCUUCGAAGCCCUCACUCUUCACUAGCAGGCAGCACUGCUGGGGCCGCCAAUCUCCUGUCCUGGUCCCUGCUGCUCCCCACAGCCCAGGACAGUCCUAGCUCAGUAUUUUGUAUCGAAUGAAUGAACGGGCUGGGCGC